rnacentral:sRNA from 1 species
UGAAAACGUUUUACAAUUAAUAUGUUCUUAAAUUUCCCUAAACUAAAAAAGAAUGGCCAGAAUAAACUGCUCCCCUUUAAGAACUGGAUUAUAUCCAAGGGAGUUCCUUUAUUUUGGAAGGAGAUUAUUCUUUUUCAUUUUAAGGAAAAAAACUAUUUAAGGAGGAAGAACAAGA